rnacentral:rRNA from 1 species
UACGUAGGGUGCGAGCGUUAAUCGGAAUUACUGGGCGUAAAGCGUGCGCAGGCGGCUUUGCAAGACAGAUGUGAAAUCCCCGGGCUCAACCUGGGAACUGCAUUUGUGACUGCAAGGCUAGAGUACGGCAGAGGGGGAUGGAAUUCCGCGUGUAGCAGUGAAAUGCGUAGAUAUGCGGAGGAACACCAAUGGCGAAGGCAAUCCCUUGGGCCUGUACUGACGCUCAUGCACGAAAGCGUGGGGAGCAAACAGG